UACGUAGGUGGCAAGCGUUGUCCGGAUUUACUGGGCGUAAAGAGCGCGCAGGCGGUCGUCCAAGUCGCGUGUGAAAUCCCUCGGCUCAACCGGGGAACGGCGUCUGAUACUGGAUGGCUUGAGUUCGGGAGAGGGAUGCGGAAUUCCAGGUGUAGCGGUGAAAUGCGUAGAUAGUCUGGAGGAACACCGGUGGCGAAGGCGGCAUCCUGGACCGACACUGACGCUGAUGAGCGAAAGCCAGGGGAGCAAACGGGG
rnacentral:rRNA from 1 species